rnacentral:rRNA from 1 species
AGAGUUUGAUCAUGGCUCAGAGCGAACGCUGGCGGCAGGCUUAACACAUGCAAGUCUAACGGACGCAGCAAUGCGUCAGUGGCAGACGGGUGAGUAACACGUGGGAACGUGCCCUUCGGUUCGGAACAACCCAGGGAAACUUGGGCUAAUACCCGAUACGUCCGCAAGGAGAAAGAUUUAUCGCCGAAGGAUCGGCCCGCGUCUGAUUAGCUUGUUGGUGAGGUAACGGCUCACCAAGGCGACGAUCAGUAGCUGGUCUGAGAGGAUGAUCAGCCACACUGGGACUGAGACACGGCCCAGACUCCUACGGGAGGCAGCAGUGGGGAAUAUUGGACAAUGGGCGCAAGCCUGAUCCAGCCAUGCCGCGUGGGUGAUGAAGGCCUUAGGGUUGUAAAGCCCUUUCGGCGGGGAAGAUAAUGACGGUACCCGCAGAAGAAGCCCCGGCUAACUUCGUGCCAGCAGCCGCGGUAAUACGAAGGGGGUUAGCGUUGCUCGGAAUCACUGGGCGUAAAGCGCACGUAGGCGGAUUGCUAAGUCAGGGGUGAAAUCCUGGAGCUCAACUCCAGAACUGCCCUUGAUACUGGCGACCUUGAGUCCGGGAGAGGUGAGUGGAACUGCGAGUGUAGAGGUGAAAUUCGUAGAUAUUCGCAAGAACACCAGUGGCGAAGGCGGCUCACUGGCCCGGUACUGACGCUGAGGUGCGAAAGCGUGGGGAGCAAACAGGAUUAGAUACCCUAGUAGUCC